rnacentral:tRNA from 1 species
UAUAUUUUAGUAUAUGAUGUACUCUAAUUUUUGAUAUUAGAAGAAAUAGUUUAAUUCUAUUAAAUGUAA